CAAUAGCGUAUAUUAAAGUUGUUGCGGUUAAAAAGCUCGUAGUUGGAUUUCUGCUGAGAACGACCGGUCCGCCCUUUGGGUGUGUAUCUGGCUCUUUCUUGGCAUCUUCUUGGUGAACGUUGCUGCACUUGACUGUGUGGAGCGCUACCCAGGACUUUUACUUUGAGGAAAUUAGAGUGUUUCAAGCAGGCAUACGCCUUGAAUACAUUAGCAUGGAAUAAUAAGAUAGGACCUCGGUUCUAUUUUGUUGGUUUCUAGAGCUGAGGUAAUGAUUAAUAGGGAUAGUUGGGGGCAUUCGUAUUUAACUGUCAGAGGUGACAUUCUUGGAUUUGUUAAAGACGGACUACUGCGAAAGCAUUUGCCAAGGAUGUUUUCAUUGA
rnacentral:rRNA from 1 species